rnacentral:rRNA from 1 species
AUUGAACGCUGGCGGCAUGCCUUACACAUGCAAGUCGAACGGCAGCACGGGGGCAACCCUGGUGGCGAGUGGCGAACGGGUGAGUAAUGCAUCGGAACGUGCCCAGUAGUGGGGGAUAACCAGUCGAAAGAUUGGCUAAUACCGCAUACGACCUAAGGGUGAAAGCGGGGGACCGUAAGGCCUCGCGCUAUUGGAGCGGCCGAUGUCUGAUUAGCUAGUUGGCGGGGUAAGAGCCCACCAAGGCGACGAUCAGUAGCUGGUCUGAGAGGACGACCAGCCACACUGGGACUGAGACACGGCCCAGACUCCUACGGGAGGCAGCAGUGGGGAAUUUUGGACAAUGGGCGCAAGCCUGAUCCAGCCAUGCCGCGUGCGGGAAGAAGG